GGGUGUGGUAGUACACACCUGUAAUCCCAAUUGUCAGGAAGGAUGAGGUUGAUGAAUCUGUUAAGCUUAGGAGUUCUGAGCUGCAGUGGGCUAUGCUGAUUAGAUGGCCACAUUAAGUUUGGCAUUAAUAUGCUGAGUCCCUGGGAUAAGGUGGAUGGGGUGCUUGUUGCCCAAGUAGGGGCAAACCUGCCUAGGUCAGAAGUAGAGUAAGUCAAAGCUUCUGUGACUAUCAGUAGGAAGAUUGGACCUGCCAAUAGCUCCUAUGAUUCCCAGCUUGGACAGGCAAGAUAGAGAGACCCAGUCUUU
rnacentral:SRP_RNA from 1 species